rnacentral:rRNA from 1 species
CCUACGGGAGGCAGCAGUUAGGAAUAUUGGUCAAUGGACGAGAGUCUGAACCAGCCAAGUAGCGUGAAGGAUGACUGCCCUAUGGGUUGUAAACUUCUUUUAUAUGGGAAUAAAACGUUCCACGUGUGGGAUUUUGUAUGUACCAUAUGAAUAAGGAUCGGCUAACUCCGUGCCAGCAGCCGCUGUAAUACGGAGGAUCCGAGCGUUAUCCGGAUUUAUUGGGUUUAAAGGGAGCGUAGGUGGAUUGUUAAGUCAGUUGUGAAAGUUUGCGGCUCAACCGUAAAAUUGCAGUUGAAACUGGCAGUCUUGAGUACAGUAGAGGUGGGCGGAAUUCGUGGUGUAGCGGUGAAAUGCUUAGAUAUCACGAAGAACUCCGAUUGCGAAGGCAGUUCACUGGACUGCAACUGACACUGAGGCUCGAAAGUGUGGGUAUCAAACAGGAUUAGAUACCCUAGUAGUC